AGUGAACGCUGGCGGUAGGCCUAACACAUGCAAGUCGAACGGCAGCACAGUAAGAGCUUGCUCUUACGGGUGGCGAGUGGCGGACGGGUGAGGAAUACAUCGGAAUCUACUUUUUCGUGGGGGAUAACGUAGGGAAACUUACGCUAAUACCGCAUACGACCUACGGGUGAAAGCAGGGGAUCUUCGGACCUUGCGCGAUUGAAUGAGCCGAUGUCGGAUUAGCCAGUUGGCGGGGUAAAGGCCCACCAAGGCGACGAUCCGUAGCUGGUCUGAGAGGAUGAUCAGCCACACUGGAACUGAGACACGGUCCAGACUCCUACGGGAGGCAGCAGUGGGGAAUAUUGGACAAUGGGCGCAGGCCUGAUCCAGCCAUACCGCGUGGGUGAAGAAGGCCUUCGGGUUGUAAAGCCCUUUUGUUGGGAAAGAAAAGCAGCAGGUUAAUACCCCGCUGUUCUGACGGUACCCAAAGAAUAAGCACCGGCUAACUUCGUG
rnacentral:rRNA from 1 species